GCAUGGUGGUUGUGCCGCACUUUUCUUUAUGCCGCGACCUUUCCGAGGACCUUUACAGCAACAAAGGGGGAGUUCUUCACAGUGUAUCCAUAUUAUGAGAGAUUGACGCGGGAAUGGAGGAUCUGGUCAAGCUGGAAAAGAGGUGUUUAUGUUGAAAUUGAGAACAAUCCAAACUUGAGUUGUUCGCGUGGAGUCAUCAGAGUAUACGAUUGUGAACCUCGCAACUACUACAGAUACUUAGGAUCUUGGUGUUAUGGAAGGAACAACACGUUCCGUACAGCAUCGUGCAUGGCUCUACGCUUCAACGCUACCAGCCUCCCAAGUGGAAGCAACACGAUCUUCUCUCUGACUUACAGAUAUCCAGACACAUGUUCUCAUGAAACAACAACAAGGUGGCCGUGGAUUCCAGCUUCACAGACAGCAUCCACUUCCAGCCAAACUGGGACUAUUGUAGGUUCGGUCUUCGGUGUUGUGUUGUUGGUUUCGGCCGUAGCAGGUGCUCUCAUUGGGUGGAGAAUCUAUCGUAGAAAGAAAAUGUCUCCUUACCAGAACCCACAGAUCACACGUCAGAGAGAAGCCGGUAGUUCUGCAAUUUCAGUAACAAAGCCAUCCUUCUCCAAUGUUGUUUACGGGCCGGCUAAGUCACCAGGGAAUGACAAGGAAGUAAUAGAAGACCCUGACACACCCGAUACCAAUAAUCAUCCCGUGUUCCAGCAAACUGAGUAAAUAACUCUCUGUCAACAACGUGAUGCCACGCUUCCCAACGGUAACGUCGAAGACAGAUCAGUCACCUACGACAACCAUUGUAACGACGACAAGGAAGUCUCAACUCCUGACAACGUGUGUACCACACCUCAGAGCUACGACAGACCUAAGGGCAACGUCAAGGGAGAAUCAGUGACGUACGGCACCCUUUGUCGCGGUGCAAAGAUGGACUCUGAGAUCUAAGGCGUGACCUUGUGAAUUUCCAGGAGGCUUGGGUUUUUUGCAUGCGACAGGUAUAUUAACUUCAACAAGUCCACAGACCAAACAAUGUUUUAACCCCAAACCAUCUUUUCAGAACAUAAAGCACGUUUGGUAAUUUUUCGUUUACCCAAGUUGGAACGAAACGGACCGGACUGGAGUACGAACAUAUGUUUAUGCCUGCGCUUGAAAUUACAAUA